rnacentral:rRNA from 1 species
UACGUAGGGGGCAAGCGUUGUCCGGAUUUAUUGGGCGUAAAGAGCGUGUAGGCGGUUAGGUAGGUCCGUUGUGAAAACUCGAGGCUCAACCUCGAGACGCCGAUGGAAACCAUCUGACUAGAGUCCGGAAGAGGAGAGUGGAAUUCCUGGUGUAGCGGUGAAAUGCGCAGAUAUCAGGAGGAACACCGGUGGCGAAGGCGGUUCUCUGGGCCUUUACUGACGCUGAGGAGCGAAAGCGUGGGGAGCGAACAGG